UACGUAGGGGGGCAAGCGUUGUCCGGAUUUAUUGGGCGUAAAGAGCGUGUAGGCGGCCAGGUAGGUCUGCUGUGAAAACUCGAGGCUUAACCUCGAGCUGUCGGCGGAAACCAUCUGGCUAGAGUCCGGAAGAGGAGAAUGGAAUUCCCGGUGUAGCGGUGAAAUGCGCAGAUAUCGGGAAGAACACCCGUGGCGAAGGCGGCCGCUG
rnacentral:rRNA from 1 species